rnacentral:sRNA from 1 species
AGGACGCCAUUGUCCUGACCGUUCGGGUUGGGAGCGGAAGCGGUCCCCGCGGUUUGAGCCACCGCGAGGACCGUCUCACCCGAAGGUGAGACGUGGUCCCCUCCACGUCUCCGCGAGGGGCCCCGGAUCGUCGCCGGGGCCCCUCUUUGCU